UGGACGAAAGUCUGAUGGAGCAACGCCGCGUGAACGAUGAAGGCCUUCGGGUCGUAAAGUUCUGUUGUAAGGGAAGAACAAGUGCCGCAGGCAAUGGCGGCACCUUGACGGUACCUUGCGAGAAAGCCACGGCUAACUACGUGCCAGCAGCCGCGGUAAUACGUAGGUGGCAAGCGUUGUCCGGAAUUAUUGGGCGUAAAGCGCGCGCAGGCGGCCUCUUAAGUCUGAUGUGAAAGCCCCCGGCUCAACCGGGGAGGGCCAUUGGAAACUGGGAGGCUUGAGUAUAGGAGAGAAGAGUGGAAUUCCACGUGUAGCGGUGAAAAUGCGUAGAGAUGUGGAGGAACACCAGUGGCGAAGGCGACUCUUUGGCCUAUAACUGACGCUGAGGCGCGAAAGCGUGGGGAGCAAACAGGAUUAGAUACCCUGGUAG
rnacentral:rRNA from 1 species